rnacentral:rRNA from 1 species
GAUGAACGCUGGCGGCGUGCCUAAUACAUGCAAGUCGAGCGAACAGACGAGGAGUUUGCUCCUCUGACGUUAGCGGCGGACGGGUGAGUAACACGUGGAUAACCUACCUAUAAGACUGGGAUAACUUCGGGAAACCGGAGCUAAUACCGGAUAAUAUAUUGAACCGCAUGGUUCAAUAGUGAAAGACGGUUUUGCUGUCACUUAUAGAUGGAUCCGCGCCGCAUUAGCUAGUUGGUAAGGUAACGGCUUACCAAGGCAACGAUGCGUAGCCGACCUGAGAGGGUGAUCGGCCACACUGGAACUGAGACACGUUCCAGACUCCUACGGGAGGCAGCAGUAGGGAAUCUUCCGCAAUGGGCGAAAGCCUGACGGAGCAACGCCGCGUGAGUGAUGAAGGUCUUCGGAUCGUAAAACUCUGUUAUUAGGGAAGAACAAAUGUGUAAGUAACUAUGCACGUCUUGACGGUACCUAAUCAGAAAGCCACGGCUAACUACGUG